CAGUCGCCACGGGAAUACGAAGGGUGCAAGCGUUAAUCGGAAUUACUGGGCGUAAAGCGCGCGUAGGUGGUUUGGUAAGAUGGAUGUGAAAUCCCCGGGCUCAACCUGGGAACUGCAUCCAUAACUGCCUGACUAGAGUACGGUAGAGGGUGGUGGAAUUUCCUGUGUAGCGGUGAAAUGCGUAGAUAUAGGAAGGAACACCAGUGGCGAAGGCGACCACCUGGACUGAUACUGACACUGAGGUGCGAAAGCGUGGGGAGCAAACAGGAUUAGAUACCCCUGUAGUCCCUGUCUCUUAUAC
rnacentral:rRNA from 1 species